rnacentral:rRNA from 1 species
AGAGUUUGAUCCUGGCUCAGGACGAACGCUGGCGGCGUGCCUAACACAUGCAAGUCGAACGGAGUGUUGCGCUGAAAUUGAGAUUAGCUUGCUAAAGGAUAUUUCUUGCAACACUUAGUGGCGGACGGGUGAGUAACGCGUGAGGAACCUGCCUUACAGAGGGGGACAACAGUUGGAAACGACUGCUAAUACCGCAUGAUGUGGAGGGGAGACAUCUCCCUUUCACCAAAGGAGCAAUCCGCUGUAAGAUGGCCUCGCGUCUGAUUAGAUAGUUGGUGGGGUAACGGCCUACCAAGUCGACGAUCAGUAGCCGGACUGAGAGGUUGAACGGCCACAUUGGGACUGAGACACGGCCCAG